AGCAGGAAGGCUGAGUUGGGGGAAGAAUACAGGAGAGCAAGUAUCUGUUUUUACUGUGUGUUGAGGUUGAUUUGCCCCCAAAUGAUUGCUAUGAACAGCGUACUCAUGGUCAUGAAAGUGCUGGGAGCAUGGUGCUUCAAAACACAAUCGGAGAGUGAAACGUCCGUGUAACCUGGAGGACAUACCAAAGAAAAGACAGAGUGUAUUUGAAAACAACAUAUUGUGUAAAGUGACACGUGUCAGCGGAGAUGAGAAAAAUGACGCCCAGGGCCAUGUGAUGGGGAUCCUCUAAUAUAAAAUGCCGUUUGUGUCUCUUCUGUGAUUAUUUCUAUGUCCCAAUUAUUAGCAGCCAUCAGUGCCUCAGGAUGAUGCAGAGCAGAGAGAAGCAAAACAAAGGCUUGUCAGUCUGCAACAGACAGAUACGUCUUUGAGGUUGCAGAUGGAUUUAUUGGCCCUCUGUUUCUAAAUAUGUCUGAAAGGCCUCAACAAUUUCCUACCUGAA